UGCCCAGACUCCUACGGGAGGCAGCAGUGGGGAAUAUUGCACAAUGGGCGCAAGCCUGAUGCAGCCAUGCCGCGUGUAUGAAGAAGGCCUUCGGGUUGUAAAGUACUUUCAGCGGGGAGGAAGGCGAUAAGGUUAAUAACCUUGUUGAUUGACGUUACCCGCAGAAGAAGCACCGGCUAACUCCGUGCCAGCAGCCGCGGUAAUACGGAGGGUGCAAGCGUUAAUCGGAAUUACUGGGCGUAAAGCGCACGCAGGCGGUCUGUCAAGUCGGAGGUGAAAUCCCCGGGCUCAACCGGGGAACUGCAUUCGAAACUGGCAGGCUGGAGUCUUGUAGAGGGGGGUAGAAUUCCAGGUGUAGCGGUGAAAUGCGUAGAGAUCAGGAGGAAUACCGGUGGCGAAGGCGGCCCCCGGGACAAAGACUGACACUCAGGUACGAAAGCGUGGGGAGCAAACAGGAUUAGAUACCCCCGUAAC
rnacentral:rRNA from 1 species